UACGUAGGGAGCGAGCGUUGUCCGGAAUGAUUGGGCGUAAAGGGCGCGUAGGCGGCUUGUUAAGUCUGGAGUGGAAGUCCUCUUUUCAAGAGAGGAAUUGCUUUGGAAACUGGCGGGCUUGAGUGCAGGAGAGGUUAUCGGAAUUCCCGGUGUAGCGGUGAAAUGCGUAGAGAUCGGGAGGAACACCAGUGGCGAAGGCGGGUAACUGGACUGCAACUGACGCUGAGGCGCGAAAGUGUGGGGAGCAAACAGGAUUAGAUACCCCCCGUAGUCCCUGA
rnacentral:rRNA from 1 species